rnacentral:snRNA from 12 species
AUUGGUUAAAUAAAAAAAAAAUAAAAAAAAUCUGUUCUUAUCAGUUUAAUAUCUGAUAUGUCCCCUACCCGGGGACUACAUAUUAAAUUGAUUUUUGUGUGGAAAAAAAAAAAAUUCACUUGCGCUCUUGAAAAAUCGCCACCUGGUGGGCGGUUUGGUUCAA